GAUGAACGCUAGCGGCAGGCUUAACACAUGCAAGUCGAGGGGUAUAGUUCUUCGGAACUAGAGACCGGCGCACGGGUGCGUAACGCGUAUGCAAUCUACCUUUUACAGAGGGAUAGCCCAGAGAAAUUUGGAUUAAUACCUCAUAGUAUGUGAGAAUCGCAUGGUUUUCACAUUAAAGUUCCAGCGGUAAAAGAUGAGCAUGCGUCCCAUUAGCUAGAUGGUAAGGUAACGGCUUACCAUGGCGACGAUGGGUAGGGGUCCUGAGAGGGAGAUCCCCCACACUGGUACUGAGACACGGACCAGACUCCUACGGGAGGCAGCAGUGAGGAAUAUUGGACCAAUGGGGCGCAAGCCUGAUCCAGCCAUGAUCAAACUCGUGAUGCU
rnacentral:rRNA from 1 species